rnacentral:lncRNA from 1 species
CUCCAGUGCGGAGCUUCAUGCUACCUGGGCAGAGUCACCUUUGUCAGGCAGUAGCUUCAUACGGAGCGGAUCUUCCUUGAAGGUGACUUUGCCCCUAUUAUUGUCUAGCUUCUAGGGGGUGUUAGGCAGCUCAGAGGCUAUCCUAUUAUCCGAGAUGUAUGAACCUCUUUUCGUCAUGCUACUGUAGUCAGAGUCCAGCAUAUUUAUUGGAAGACUAAUACUGCAGCAGAUUGGAUAGCAGCUUUUGUUGCUGACCACUCUGGCGAC